rnacentral:rRNA from 1 species
AGAGUUUGAUCCUGGCUCAGAACGAACGCUGGCGGCGUGCUUAAUACAUGCAAGUCGAACGAGAAAGUCAUCUUCGGGUGGCGAGUAAAGUGGCAAACGGGUGAGUAACACGUAAGCAACCUACCCUUAAGAUUGGGACAACCCUGCUAACGCGGGGCUAAUACUAAAUGUGAACAUUUUUCCGCAUGGAUUUUUGUUUAAAUGAAUUUCGCUUAAGGAUGGGCUUGCGGACCAUUAGCUUGUUGGUGGGGUAACGGCCUACCAAGGCUGCGAUGGUUAGCCGACCUGAGAGGGUGAUCGGCCACAUUGGGACUGAGAUACGGCCCAGACUCCUACGGGAGGCAGCAGUAGGGAAUUUUGCGCAAUGGACGAAAGUCUGACGCAGCAACGCCGCGUGAGCGAUGAAUGUCUUCGGAUUGUAAAGCUCUGUUGAGUGGGAAGAAAAGCUUCGGUAUGACGGUACCACUCGAGGAAGCCCCGGCUAAUUACGUGCCAGCAGCCGCGGUAAUACGUAAGGGGCAAGCGUUGUUCGGAAUCACUGGGCGUAAAGGGAGCGUAGGCGGAUAGGUAAGUAGAAGUUAAAUACAACGGCUCAACCGUUGAUCUGCUUUUAAUACUGUCUAUCUUGAGUACAGGAGAGGAAGACGGAAUUCCAGGUGUAGCGGUGGAAUGCGUAGAUAUCUGGAAGAACACCAGUUGCGAAGGCGGUCUUCUGGCCUAGUACUGACGCUAAUGCUCGAAAGCUAGGGGAGCAAACAGGAUUAGAUACCCUGGUAGUCCUAGCCGUAAACGAUGGACACUAGUUGUCGGAGGAGUCAAUCCUUUCGGUGACGAAGCUAACGCAUUAAGUGUCCCGCCUGGGGAGUACGCUCGCAAGGGUGAAACUCAAAGGAAUUGACGGGGGCCCGCACAAGCGGUGGAGCAUGUGCUUUAAUUCGAUGCAACGCGAAGAACCUUACCUGGGUUUGACAUGGGGGUGAAACUCUUUAGAGAUAGAGAUCUUUCCUUCGGGAACACCCUACACAGGUGCUGCAUGGUUGUCGUCAGCUCGUGUCGUGAGAUGUUGGGUUAAGUCCCGCAACGAGCGCAACCCUCGCCCUUAGUUGCCAUCAGGUAAAGCUGGGAACUCUAGGGGGACUGCUUGGUAUAACCAGGAGGAAGGUGGGGAUGACGUCAAAUCAUCAUGGCCCUUACGCCCAGGGCUAGACACGUGCUACAAUGGCCAGUACAGCGGGAUGCGACACUGCGAAGUGAAGC